AGAAUUGGAGUGGAAGGAACAUGCCUUGCUCCCCAUUGCCAUCACCCAUCUUCCACUAAAGGCCAAAGAUUUGUCAAGCCUAGAGAUUGACUGAAAAGUACUUCAACUCGCCAUUGAAUGCUUGAGCACAAACAAUCUACCCAAGGGCUUGCGUGCUUUCUUCAAUGAGGUGAAUGUGAGAACACAAUAAAUUAUAUUCAAAUGGAAGUCAUGGAGGAAACUUCCCUUUCCUUCCUCAUCCACAAAGCUGAUCAAUGGGCGCUAAAGCCCCGGGGAAGCAGCAUCUGUUGUAACUCAAGGAUUCCCCACUCGAGUCGAGGAUGAAAUUAACAGACGUGGAGCAGUUUGCAGCUCAACAUUUGUUCAAGUCUGACACAUGCACACAUCAUUAGCAACUAUAUUUGAGGAGCAAGAUCAAGGAGGCCACGGCAGAGAUACAAUAGAAGCACAAUCACAAGGAACAGUGAACGUUUGCCGAGGGCUUAAUUUGGCCAGGCAUAUGCCAACGUGUCGAAUUCUCACAGCAC